rnacentral:rRNA from 1 species
GAACUUAAGCAUAUCAAUAAGCGGAGGAAAAGAAACCAACAGGGAUUGCUUCAGUAACGGCGAGUGAAGCGGCAACAGUUCAAAUUUGAAAUCUGACUUCGGUCCGAGUUGUAAUUUGCAGAGGGUAUUUGGAAAGCGACAUGGGCUUAAGUCCCUUGGAAUAGGGCGUCAUAGAGGGUGAGAAUCCCGUAUGUGGCCUCACGUCAAUUUCAUGUCAAAUCCCUUCGACGAGUCGAGUUGUUUGGGAAUGCAGCUCAAAAUGGGUGGUAAAUUUCAUCUAAAGCUAAAUACUGGCCAGAGACCGAUAGCGCACAAGUAGAGUGAUCGAAAGAUGAAAAGCACUUUGAAAAGAGAGUUAAAUAGUACGUGAAAUUGUUGAAAGGGAAGCGCUUGCCAUUAGACCGAUGGACAGGUUGCAGUUGGAGGCAACUCUUGACGUAAAGCACCUGUUUUUCGGCCAGCAUCAGUUUCGGUGGUUCGACAAAGACCGCGAGAACGUGGCUCUUCGGAGUGUUAUAGCUCAUGGUGUAAUGGAACCUACUGGGACUGAGGACCGCGCUUCGGCUUAGGAUGCUGGCGUAAU